rnacentral:rRNA from 1 species
GUGGACGCCAGUCUGCGUGGAGCCGACCUUGAAAUACCACCCUUUAAUGUUUGAUGUUCUAACGUGGACCCGUAAUCCGGGUUGCGGACAGUGUCUGGUGGGUAGUUUGACUGGGGCGGUCUCCUCCUAAAGAGUAACGGAGGAGCACGAAGGUUGGCUAAUCCUGGUCGGACAUCAGGAGGUUAGUGCAAUGGCAUAAGCCAGCUUGACUGCGAGCGUGACGGCGCGAGCAGGUGCGAAAGCAGGUCAUAGUGAUCCGGUGGUUCUGAAUGGAAGGGCCAUCGCUCAACGGAUAAAAGGUACUCCGGGGAUAACAGGCUGAUACCGCCCAAGAGUUCAUAUCGACGGCGGUGUUUGGCACCUCGAUGUCGGCUCAUCACAUCCUGGGGCUGAAGUAGGUCCCAAGGGUAUGGCUGUUCGCCAUUUAAAGUGGUACGCGAGCUGGGUUUAGAACGUCGUGAGACAGUUCGGUCCCUAUCUGCCGUGGGCGCUGGAGAACUGAGGGGGGCUGCUCCUAGUACGAGAGGACCGGAGUGGACGCAUCACUGGUGUUCGGGUUGUCAUGCCAAUGGCACUGCCCGGUAGCUAAAUGCGGAAGAGAUAAGUGCUGAAAGCAUCUAAGCACGAAACUUGCCCCGAGAUGAGUUCUCCCUGAGACUUAGAGU